CAGCAGGCUUGGGGGCGAGGGGCAGGUGAGUAAGGAAGGCAGGGAGUUUGCUCCACAUCUCUUGCUCUGAGGCUCAUCGGUAGAGAAUCCUCCUGCAGUGCAGAAGACGGAGGAGACAAGGGUUUGAUCCCUGGGUUGGGAAGAUGCCCUGGAGAAGGGCAUGGCAACCCACUCCAGUAUUCUUGCCUGGACAAUCCCAUGGACAGAGGAGCCUGGCAGGCUGCGGUCCAUGGGGGUUGCAAAGAGUCAGACGUGACUGAGCAGAGACACACACUCUGAAUCAGAGGGCCAGCCUACAGGCUAAGAGAGGCUUCUGGAGCAGACCAUGGAAGGAAACACCGACCAAGUUCGCGGAAAAGGCUGGUUCCUGUUUGCUCCCUGGUCCCUGGUCAAGGUGAGCCACUUCUCCAAAGUGGAGAGUUGGGAGUUUAACAUCAGUGCCCUCAUUAUUGUCCCUUAUCUUUUAAAAAUUACCAAAGCAUGCAUUCUUUCGACAGGAAGUUAUCAAGGUCUUCUUUGCUUAAGAACAGGUGAAGGGAGAGAUCUAUUUCGGCAGCUGUGACCAUCCUAAGAUAGGCCCUGAGCAGCAGUCGAAGAAAAUCCAGACAGGAAGCUGGGAUUAGCACCCUGGAGCUGCCCUUCCCCCACCCUCCACUUCUGUUCUGUUCUCCUUCCCAGCAGUCCUGGUGUCUAGAACCAGAAAGGCCAUUCGCACCUCCUCGUCAGUAAACCUUCUCCCUGUCUCUGGGAGAUGGGGUACUGUGGGCAGUGCGUUAGCUGUCCCCAGGGGUCUUCUGGCUUCAACAGCCGUGACCAAGCUGAGAUGGGGCACUGUGGUCCCAGGCCCACCCUCAUUCCAGGUAGAAAGAGGGAACCAAGCCUUGUGCCCAGGAGGUGCCUGUGUGUGCUCCUUCUGAGCACUCUAGGCACAGCGGCAUAUCCUUGCUGGUUCCAGCAUUGUUGGGAAGUGAAAAACGAGGGCACAGAGUAACCUAUGCAAAGCCUUCUAUGAGAAAGGAUCAUGAAAAAGAGAGGACUCAGUCGCUGAAGGAUGGAGUUUUGGAGGAAGUUGAGACCCUUAGAAUGGGGCCAAUGGAUGGGACAGGGCAGCCCAGGCUGGGGACACAGCCAGAGCAAAGGCAUAGAUGCAGGAACGGACAGGACCUAGAAAGAUCCAGUGGCUCAAACUGCCUGGCGGGGCGAGGGGAGCUGGAUGGAGGGACGUUCCAGGCAGACCCAGGUCAGACUCCAUGGCCAAGUUAUAGAAGUGAGGCUUUGCCAUAUGGGUAAUGGGAAAUUCUUGGUGGGUUUUCCAGGAGAGAAAUAAGUGGAUGACGUGUACAUAGCUAUGUUUUAGGAAGAUUUAUCUUGUUUGUCGUAUCUUUGUUUAUGUCAACCAGAAUUUGAAAGAAUAGAUGUCUGAUGGGAUGUGUCUUCCCAGUGGAAUACUUGUCCCACCACUGACAAUUUUGGUACAAAAUAUAUCUAACUGAUGUGGAACAAUGUCCAACAGUCAAGCAAGGCAAUCAGAAAGCAGCGUGAGAUCUUAUUUAAAAAAAAAUGAUAUGUAUAAAUGUGUGUGUGUGUGUGUGUGUGUGUGUGUGUGUGGAGAGAGAACAAAAGAGAAAGAAAGAAGAAGGGGGGGUGCCGGGGGGGGCAUUAUAGAGAAGCUGUCAGGGCGGCCCACCCCUGCCAGGCUCCCCACUUCUCCACCCCUUCACAGUGCCUCCUGGGAUCGCCCUCCAAAUGAACUACUUGCUCCCAAGUCCUUGUUUCAGGCUCUGCUUUGUGGGGAAUUCAAACACCAGUCUCACCCCUUUUCCAUGUCUUCUGCCCAGGCUGCUGCUAACUCUGGGGGAAAUCUAUUUUUGUAGCUCUCUGAUGAUUUUGUGUCCCAUGAUGAGAAAUACCAAAGUAGACCCUGAAGAACAUUCGUCUGGGAAUAUAAAGGUCCGUGGAUUAAACUGAGGCAAAGCUAGAGGCAGGGAGGCCAGGAAGGAAGCCUCCUUCCUUCCCUGUAAAGGAAGCCCAGGGCGGGCUGGAGGGGGCUGUGGAAAAGAGGCUGGAAGAGUGAUCAUUUUGAUACCUCACAUGUAAGAUUGUAUGUUAACCUUACGUGAGACUGCUUGUAUUUUGGAAGACAGGGCUGAGUCAAACCAUCUGGUUCUGGUAUCCAAUUAGAGUUCAUUGUCAAAGGAAACUGAAGCCCUUGCCCUUUGAAUAAUGGGAAAACCACACACUUAUCUGGCAGCGCUAUGAUGUGCAACAAUGGAGUUGACUUCCUGGCUCUUCACCCUGCCUACUAUGGUUUUGUCUGGAGUUGACUUCCUGGCUCUUCACCCUGCCUACUAUGAUUUUGUCUGGGGUGUUGAACAUUCCACACAGUUCCUUUCCUUUUCUUCUCAGUGGGGACUCUUAUUUACACCUUCAGUUUUGUGUUGUUUUGUUUUUAAAAUGUUCCAGGACAAUAUGUACCAAAAGUCUCUAUUCCUGGCAAUAAGCUAGACAUGGAAAAAAGAUUCCUACUCAAAUGUGUCCAUUGCAGUGUUAUUUUUAAGAGCUGAAAGUUGAACGUUACCCAAUAUCCAGUAAUAGGGAAGUGGUCAUGUAAAUGGAGGCAAUUCACUCCGGAAAAGUGUGCAGCCAUUAAAAACCUUGGGAUGGGAAAACGUGGCUCCCUCCUCUCUUCCUCAGAUGGAAAUGGAGAGACAAGGGUCCUUUUAAGAAUUCAAGCGGAGGGACUAUCCUGGUGAUCCAGUGGUUAAGGAUCCACUCGCCAAUGCAGGGGACAUGGGCUCAAUCCCUGUUCGGGGAACUAAGAUCUGACACAGCACUGAGCAACUGAGCCCGUGGGCCCUAACUACAGAGGCACACAGCCAAAUAAUUAAUUAAUAAUAAUUAAAAAAAGAAUUUAACUGGAAAUGUCCGUGUUUCUUUUCAGUACAGGUGAGGAGGUG
ensembl:lncRNA